AAGGAAAGAAAGAAGAAGGAUUCAUAAUAACUCUAUGAAGUAUGGCUAUUAUUACCAACACUUUAUAGAUGGAGACACCAAGAAGAUCUCUUUGCUGGAGAAGCAAAGAGAUCCAGUGAGCUGAACUGUCUAAAUACAAAUGUGAGAUCUGAGAAGUCCUUGUGUUUAUCAGUAUUUUAGAGAAGAUUAUUUUAAUCAAAGUAGAUGUUGCUUUCUGCCUAGAGGUGAAAGAAUAUAUAGGAGGAAGUCAGUGUAUUUGUUGGAGAAGGGAAGACUAGAGAUAAUGCUACAGAAGUGGAAAAUAAUUACAAAGGGAAGUAGGGAAGUCAAAGAUACACUUUUCUUUUACAGCAGGACUUCACUAAAAUAUCAAAUUACACAUUUUCUGCAGAAGGCUUGUGGGGCAGAUAAACCCCAGUGAAGCUGGAAGAAACCAAACAGAAAGAAAACACCAAGCAAACACUUCGAAGGAGACAUUUUAAACAGGACUGUGGACUAGUAAAGAAGAAAAUUAAACAGGGAAGUAAUUGUGAGAGAAACAGCUGCACCGGGAAACCAACUGUCAGUAAAAAUAACCUCAGGCUGCGCAGAGGGGCUGUAAGGCUUGGAAAGAGUUGCAGAAGCAAAGGCAGCUGCUUUAAUUGGCAGCCCCCACUCCUGCACUCCCUCACAAAUACCCCAUCCUGAGAAGUUCUGCUUUAAGGAUAAUUAGAGGGAAAAGGCACAGUAUUUGAUGGUGCUGUCUGGCAUAAACCCAUCAUCCCACCGGUGACUUGUAUUCCUCACCUUGAAGGGCUCAUUUCUGCAGCAGAGAGUGCACAGGCUGGCCUACUACCUGGACAAACCUUGACCAGGAAGUUAAGAACAUCUGGUGAAAUGCUCGGAGGCCCUGCUUUGCCACAGGUGUGCUGGCAUAUGUAUGGAAGCCAGAGGCUAACAUCAGAUGUCAUCCUCAUUCAUGCUCCAUGUUAUUUUUUGAGACAAGGGCUCUCUGAACCUGGAGUCUCAGAUUCAGGAAGAGUGGCUGGCCAGCAAGCCAAGGAAUCUGUGUGUCCACUUCCACAGCACGAAAUGUCAUCUGAGAAGAAAGAUCCUCAUUGAGAAAACACCCUCAUAAGAUCCAGCUGUAAGCAAGCUUGUAGGGCAUUUUCUUAAUAAUUGAUGGGCAAGGGCCCAGCCUAUUGUGGGAGGUGCCAUCUUUGGAGAGGUGGCCUUGGGGUCUGUACGAAAGCAGGCAGAGCAAGCCACAAGGAGCAAGCCGGUAAGCAGUGCCCCUCCAAUGGUCUCUGAACGAGCUUCUGCCUCCAGGUUCCUGCUCUGUUUGAGUUGCUGUACUUACUUCCUUGAUGCUAAACACUGAUACGGAGUGUAAGCCAAAUAAACCCUUUCCUUCCCAAUUUUUUGGGGGUCAUGGUGUUUCAUCACAGCAAUAGAACCCUAACAAAGAUAACAGGCUUGUCACAUGGGCACCAGGGAUCUGAACUCAGGUCCUUAUGCUUGCAUGGAAAACAGUUUUAUGGGAUGAGCCAUUUUUCCAGCUGUU